AAAUCAAGUGAGGAACUAGCCAGAGAAAGUUCAGGUGUGAAGCUUUUUGUCUGAACUCCGUACUCUGGAACCUGAAACCACGAUCCCAAACAUCAGUGUUCUCCUUACACACCUGGAUGGAGAGAGUCCGAGUCUGCAGGUGGCUGUGUGUAAAGUUCUUGUCUGAGUUUUGUCUGGUGAUGAGCUGGAUGAUUCUGCUCAUGCGAGCCGAGAUAAUUUCCUGAACAUGCUGCAGGAGCACAUCCAUGAUGCCCACUCACAUGUCCGAGCACGUGUGCUUCAGUGCUGAGAAGGAGGUGGUUCUCAGUAAUUUGGACAUACUCUGCUAUGGGAGAGAAGGUUGCAGAAGAUUAUUUGCUGGCUCAAGACACAUUUAUCAUCAU